rnacentral:rRNA from 1 species
UGGAUCCAGACUUUGAUCCUGGCUCAGGAUGAACGCUGGCGGCGUGCUUAACACAUGCAAGUCGAACGGGGUACCCUUGACGGAGGCUUCGGCCAACUGAUAGGAAUACCUAGUGGCGGACGGGUGAGUAACGCGUGAGGAACCUGCCUUGGAGUGGGGAAUAACAGUCAGAAAUGAUUGCUAAUACCGCAUGAUGCAGCGGAGCCGCAUGGCUCUGCUGCCAAAGAUUUAUCGCUCUGAGAUGGCCUCGCGUCUGAUUAGAUAGUUGGCGGGGUAACGGCCCACCAAGUCGACGAUCAGUAGCCGGACUGAGAGGUUGGCCGGCCACAUUGGGACUGAGACACGGCCCAGACUCCUACGGGAGGCAGCAGUGGGGAAUAUUGGGCAAUGGGCGCAAGCCUGACCCAGCAACGCCGCGUGAAGGAAGAAGGCCCUCGGGUUGUAAACUUCUUUUAUGAGGGACGAAGAAGUGACGGUACCUCAUGAAUAAGCCACGGCUAACUACGUGCCAGCAGCCGCGGUAAUACGUAGGUGGCAAGCGUUAUCCGGAUUUACUGGGUGUAAAGGGCGUGUAGGCGGGAUCGCAAGUCAGAUGUGAAAUUCCAGGGCUCAACCCUGGACCUGCAUUUGAAACUGUGAUUCUUGAGUGAUGGAGAGGCAGGCGGAAUUCCGUGUAUAGCGGUGAAAUGCGUAGAUAUACGGAGGAACACCAGUGGCGAAGGCGGCCUGCUGGACAUUAACUGACGCUGAGGCGCGAAAGCGUGGGGAGCAAACAGGAUUAGAUACCCUGGUAGUCCACGCUGUAAACGAUGGAUACUAGGUGUGGGGGGUCUGACCCCCUCCGUGCCGCAGCUAACGCAAUAAGUAUCCCACCUGGGGAGUACGAUCGCAAGGUUGCAACUCAA